rnacentral:rRNA from 1 species
GUAAGGAAUAUUGGACAAUGGCCGCAAGGCUGAUCCAGCCAUGCCGCGUGCAGGAAGACGGACCUAUGGUUUGUAAACUGCUUUUGAACUAGAGAAAACCCCUUUACGUGUAAAGGGCUGAUAGUAUAGUUAGAAUAAGCAUCGGCUAACUUCGUGCCAGCAGCCGCGGUAAGACGAAGGAUGCAAGCGUUAUCCGGAUUCAUUGGGUUUAAAGGGAGCGUAGGCGGAUCUGUAAGUCAGUGGUGAAAUCUCUUCGCUUAACGAAGAAACUGCCAUUGAUACUGCAGAUCUAGAGUACAGUUGCCGUUGGCGGAAUAUGACAUGUAGUGGUGAAAUACUUAGAUAUGUCAUAGAACACCGAUUGCGAAGGCAGCUAACGAAGCUGUAACUGACGCUGAGGCUCGAAAGUGCGGGGAUCAAACAGGAUUAGAUACCCUAGUAGUCC